rnacentral:lncRNA from 10 species
ACUCUACUCCCUCUCUUCUUCCCUUUCUCCUUUUCUCCAUCUCUCUCUCUUCCUCUCUCUCUCUCUUUCUUUAUUUCUACCUCUUUCUUCCCUUUUUCUCACUUUUCCUUGCUUUCCUCUCUCUCCCUCCCUGCUUGCCUGCCUUCCUCCCUUCCUCCCUUCCUUCCUUCUUUUCUUCCUUCCUCCUUCCUUUCUUCCAUCCUCUUUAAUUUCUCCUUCUUCUUAAUAUAUAAACAUGAUAAGUAUUCUAGAAGACCUAAUUCAGUUUUUUCUUAACAGCUUAUCAGGAAAUUACUGGUAGCUUUUUUUUCUCCUCAGCAAACAUAUAAGCUAAUUUCCUCCAUCCAACUUGUUACAUUUUCUCCAGGAAGACCCACUACGUUAUGUGAGACUAUGGGGAAAGCUGAAAUUUGGUUAAUCCGAACAUAUUGGGAUUUUGAAUUUCCUCGUCCAUACUUACCUAAUUUUGAGUUUGUUGGAGGAUUGCACUGCAAACCUGCCAAACCUUUACCUAAGGAAAUGGAAGAAUUUAUCCAGAGCUCAGGUAAAAAUGGUGUUGUGGUGUUUUCUCUGGGAUCAAU